AUGCGCACCCUCGAGCAGGAGAAGAUCGUACCGCCCGUGGCGCGAGAGCGAAUGCACGCGCUGCUGACCUGCGGCGGCGUGCAAGAGCGGCUGGCGGCGGAGGCCAAGUGCCUGGUGCCAAGGAUGCUGGUGGAGGCCAUGGCCGAGGACAAGGCCGUCAGGUCCAACGCGCCGCUCAUCAGAGACCUCACCCGGUUCGGCGAAUCGCUGCCGGAGCAGUAG
rnacentral:rRNA from 1 species